rnacentral:lncRNA from 1 species
CAAAACCAAAAACAAUAUUCUGAAUACAUAAUUAAACUAACCUCAUAUGAUAUUUUUGCCAAAAACUCAUAAAACUGUAGCUAAAUCUGUGUGCUCAUAAAAUCGCAAACCCAUCUAUCCGUACUAAUCUGGGGAACAAACAGCAAACCAAACGUUCUCAAAUCUAGAAAAACAAAUUAAAAAGGCAACAAAUUAGUGAACAUACCUGAUUUCAUAGAUAGAGGUGGAUCUGGCACUAUGAUUAGCAAAAGUGAGAAAAAAAACAAAGGACUGACUUGGACAUCCACUGUUUUGAUUAUCUGAUCUCAUCCAACAUUUCCUUUUCCUACUCCAAGAAGGUGCAGAUGUGUUUAUCAACCAACUUCGAG